CCUACUGAGAUGAUCCGGUCUUUACUUGCGCAGAAUAGGUGGGAGGCUUUGAGAAGGUCUUGUGGGAUCUUUGGAGCCAUUCGUGAGAUACCACUCUUUUAAAGCUCGGAUUCUCACUCUCUACCGUAAUCCGGGGAGAGGACACUCCCAGGUGGGCAGUUUGACUGGGGCGGUCGCCUCCUAAAAGGUAACGGAGGCGCACAAAGGUUUCCUCAGAUCGGAUAGAAAUCGAUCUUUGAGUGUAAAGGCAAAGGAAGCUUGACUGCGAGACGUACAAGUCAAGCAGAGACGAAAGUCGGUCUUAGUGAUCCGACGAUCCUGAGUGGAAAGGUCGUCCCUCAACGGAUAAAAGUUACUCUAGGGAAACAGGCUGAA
rnacentral:rRNA from 1 species